rnacentral:rRNA from 1 species
AGUGAACGCUGGCGGUAGGCCUAACACAUGCAAGUCGAACGGCAGCACAGGAGAGCUUGCUCUCUGGGUGGCGAGUGGCGGACGGGUGAGGAAUACAUCGGAAUCUACCUUUUCGUGGGGGAUAACGUAGGGAGACUUACGCUAAUACCGCAUACGACCUACGGGUGAAAGUGGGGGACCGCAAGGCCUCACGCGAUUAGAUGAGCCGAUGUCCGAUUAGCUAGUUGGCGGGGUAAUGGCCCACCAAGGCGACGAUCGGUAGCUGGUCUGAGAGGAUGAUCAGCCACACUGGAACUGAGACACGGUCCAGACUCCUACGGGAGGCAGCAGUGGGGAAUAUUGGACAAUGGGCGCAAGCCUGAUCCAGCCAUACCGCGUGGGUGAAGAAGGCCUUCGGGUUGUAAAGCCCUUUUGUUGGGAAAGAAAUCCUGUCGAUUAAUACUCGGUGGGGAUGACGGUACCCAAAGAAUAAGCACCGGCUAACUUCGUG